GCGACCGUAGCUCAGUUGGUUAGAGCGCUGGUUUGUGGUACCAGAGGUCGCGGGUUCGGAUCCCGUCGGUCGCCCCA
rnacentral:tRNA from 3 species